GACGAACGCUGGCGGCGUGCUUAACACAUGCAAGUCGAACGGAAAGGCCCUGCUUUUGUGGGGUGCUCGAGUGGCGAACGGGUGAGUAACACGUGAGUAACCUGCCCUUGACUUUGGGAUAACUUCAGGAAACUGGGGCUAAUACCGGAUAGGAGCUCCUGCUGCAUGGUGGGGGUUGGAAAGUUUCGGCGGUUGGGGAUGGACUCGCGGCUUAUCAGCUUGUUGGUGGGGUUGUGGCUUACCAAGGCUUUGACGGGUAGCCGGCCUGGGAGGGUGACCGGCCACAUUGGGACUGAGAUACGGCCCAGACUCCUACGGGAGGCAGCAGUGGGGAAUAUUGCACAAUGGGCGGAAGCCUGAUGCAGCAACGCCGCGUGCGGGAUGACGGCCUUCGGGUUGUAAACCGCUUUCGCCUGUGACGAAGCGUGAGUGACGGUAAUGGGUAAAGAAGCACCGGCUAACUACGUG
rnacentral:rRNA from 1 species